AUUGCCCUAGUAACGGCGAGUGAAGCGGCAACAGCUCAAAUUUGAAAUCUGGCCCUCGGGUCCGAGUUGUAAUUUGUAGAGGAUGCUUUUGGUGAGGUACCUUCCGAGUUCCCUGGAACGGGACGCCAUAGAGGGUGAGAGCCCCGUCUGGUUGGAUACCGAUCCUCUGUAAAGCUCCUUCGACGAGUCGAGUAGUUUGGGAAUGCUGCUCUAAAUGGGAGGUAUAUGUCUUCUAAAGCUAAAUAUUGGCCAGAGACCGAUAGCGCACAAGUAGAGUGAUCGAAAGAUGAAAAGCACUUUGAAAAGAGAGUUAAAAAGUACGUGAAAUUGUUGAAAGGGAAGCGCUCAUGACCAGACUUGGGCUUGGUUGAUCAUCCAGGGUUCUCCCUGGUGCACUCUUCCAGCUCAGGCCAGCAUCAGUUCGCCGCGGGGGAUAAAGGCUUUGGGAAUGUGGCUCCCCCGGGAGUGUUAUAGCCCACUGCGUAAUACCCUGUAGUGGACUGAGGUUCGCGCAUCUGCAAGGAUGCUGGCGUAAUGGUCAUCAGCGACCCGUCUUGAAACACGGACCAAGGAGUCGUCUUCGUAUGCGAGUGUUCGGGUGUUAAACCCCUACGCGUAAUGAAAGUGAACGCAGGUGAGAGCUUCGGCGCAUCAUCGACCGAUCCUGAUGUUCUCGGAUGGAUUUGAGUAAGAGCAUACGGGGCCGGACCCGAAAGAAGGUGAACUAUGCCUGUAUAGGGUGAAGCCAGAGGAAACUCUGGUGGAGGCUCGCAGCGGUUCUGACGUGCAAAUCGAUCGUCAAAUAUGGGCAUGGGGGCGAAAGACUAAU
rnacentral:rRNA from 1 species